AGGGCUGCGCCUCCCGCCCAGGUGGAACCGGAGGAGCCGGGCUGGCGGUGCGGUGGGUCAGGUGGCCUGAGCCGGUUCCCGCUUUUGGUCCUGGAACUCCGGCAGACGCCAGGUCGCAAGGGGUUUCUGCUGUGUUUUCUUCUAGAGGUUGUAGGAGGAAGGUACAGAGUUCCCAUAUACCCCACCCCCCGCCCCGUAAGCCGUAUUCCCCGCGCGCCCAGGGGCAACAUACUUUCCCCGGAGGGGAGCCUUCGUUACCACCAGGGAGCGCGUAUUGAAACAUCAUCCCCCAGAGUUCGUGGUUCGCAGUCUGGUUCCCUCGUGGUGGUGUACCUCCUAUGGGUUUUAACAGACGCGGCGUAGUAACAGUUUGAAAUGCAAGGACGUGUGCUUCUUUUAAAGAUUUAUGUCUCUGUUGAUGUUGCUCCUCUAAUUCUUCAAGCUCUUGUGUAAGUCGUUGUCGUUCUUGUGUAAAUUGGGCUUGCAGCUGCUGCAAAGAAGUCUGAGACUGGGAAAGCUGCAUCUCCAGAUUCUGUUUCAGCAAGGAAAUCUAUGCCACAGAAUGGUACAAAAUGAAGAAUAAAUACAAGGCAUAUUUCACAAAUGGCCAUCUAAGGAAAAAAGCAUUUCAAAGAUAUUAACUAUAGUAAAAUAAUUGCCUUCA